rnacentral:rRNA from 1 species
UACGAAGGGGUGCAAGCGUUACUCGGAAUUACUGGGCGUAAAGCGUGCGUAGGUGGUUCGUUAAGUCUGAUGUGAAAGCCCUGGGCUCAACCUGGGAAUGGCAUUGGAUACUGGCGGGCUAGAGUGCGGUAGAGGGCAGUGGAAUUCCCGGUGUAGCAGUAGAAAUGCGUAGAGAUCGGGAGGAACAUCUGUGGCGAAGGCGACUGCCUGGACCAGCACUGACACUGAGGCACGAAAGCGUGGGGAGCAAACAGG